GACGAACGCUGGCGGCGUGCCUAAUACAUGCAAGUCGAACGCAGCGGGGACGGGUGAGUAACACGUGGGUAACCUCCCACCAGAGGGGAUAACACUUGGAAACAGGUGCUAAACCGAUACCGAUGGAUGAACCCGCGGUGCAUUAGCUAGUUGGGGAGGUAACGGCUCACCAAGGCCACGAUGCAUAGCCGACCUGAGAGGGUGGUCGGCCACACUGGGACUGAGACACGGUCCAGACUCCUACGGGAGGCAGCAGUUGGGAAUAUUGGACAAUGGGCGAAAGCCUGAUCCAGCCAUGCCGCGUGUGUGAAGAAGGUCUUCGGAUUGUAAAGCACUUUAAGUUGGGAGGCGUUACCAACAGAGUAAACACCGGCUAACUUCGUGCCAGCCGCCGCGGUAAUAC
rnacentral:rRNA from 1 species